rnacentral:rRNA from 1 species
CCUACGGGUGGCUGCAGUGAGGAAUAUUGGUCAAUGGGAGCGAGCCUGAACCAGCCAAGUCGCGUGAGGGAAGACGGUACUAUGGAUUGUAAACCUCUUUUGUCGGGGAGCAAAAGACGCCACGCGUGGCGUUCCGAGAGUCCCCGAAGAAAAAGCAUCGGCGAACUCCGUGCCAGCAGCCGCGGUAAUACGGGGGAUGCGAGCUUUAUCCGGAUUUAUUGGGUUUACAGGGUGCGCAGGCGGAAGAUCAAGUCAGCGGUAAAAUUGUGAGGCUCCACCUCUUCGAGCCGUUGACACUGGUUUUCUUGAGUGAGCGAGAAGUAUGCGGAAUGCGUGGGGUAGCGGGGAAAUGCAUAGAUAUCACGCAGAACUCAGAUUGCGAAGGCAGCAUACCGGCGCUCAACUGACGCUCAUGCACGAAAGUGUGGGUAUCGAACAGGAUUAGAUACCCUUGUAGUC